ACUGCUUUUCUUUGAUGUCCCCCGAUUGUGGAGCCCAUCAACCCCGCCGCUUAGGUUCAAGGUUGAUGGGUUUUUUGUU
rnacentral:sRNA from 2 species